UACGGAGGGUGCGAGCGUUGUCCGGAAUCAUUGGGCGUAAAGGGCGUGUAGGUGGCUUCUUAAGCGUGCGGUGAAAGCCUGGGGCUCAACCCCGGGUCGGCCGUGCGAACUGGGGGGCUGGAGCACUGUAGAGGCAGGCGGAAUUCCGGGUGUAGCGGUGGAAUGCGUAGAGAUCCGGAAGAACACCGGUGGCGAAGGCGGCCUGCUGGGCAGUUGCUGACACUGAGGCGCGACAGCGUGGGGAGCAAACAGG
rnacentral:rRNA from 1 species